GACGAACGCUGGCGGCGUGCUUAACACAUGCAAGUCGAGCGGAAAGGCCCUUUCGGGGGUACGUCGAGCGGCGGAACGGGUGAGUAACACGUGAGUAAUCUGCCCUGCACUUCGGGAUAGCUUCGGGAAACCGAAAUUAAUACCGGAUAGGACUCGUCACCGCAUGGUGGUGGGUGGAAACUUUUUGGUUGGUGGGAGUGUGCUCGCGGCCUAUCAGCUUGAUGGUGGGGUAGGUGGCCUACCAUGGCUUUGACGGGUAGGCCGGCCUGAGAGGGUGACCGGCCACACUGGGAC
rnacentral:rRNA from 1 species